rnacentral:rRNA from 1 species
AUGGAGGAGUUCGUUGUCCGGCUCACCGGCAUCGUCAACGACCUCGAGGCCCUCGGCGACGGCAUCACCGAGCACAAGGUGGUGCUCAAGUUUCUCCGUUGCGUACCACAGCGCUACCGGCAGCUCGCCCACUCCAUCCAGUCUCUACUCGACCUCAAGACCUUGACGAUUGAAGAGCUCGCGGGUCGCUUCUUGGCCGUGGAGGAGAGCUUCGACAUGGACGACGCAGGCAGCAGCAACGGUGGCACUCGGCUGCUCCUCACGGAGGAGGAGUGGUUUGCUCGCUCCAAGAAACAAGGCGGUGCUGGCAAGAGGAGGAGCAACUUCGACAUCCGCAAGGUCCGCUGCUACAACUGCCAAGACUACGGGCAUUUCUCGAGGGACUGCACCGCGCCCAGGAAGGAGCAGGACCACCUCGCCGCCGCGACCGCCGAUGACGAGCCGGGGCUGCUUUGA